GACGAACGCUGGCGGCGUGCCUAAUACAUGCAAGUCGAGCGGACCUUUGAGAGCUUGCUCUCAAAGGUUAGCGGCGGACGGGUGAGUAACACGUGGGUAACCUGCCUGUAAGAUUGGGAUAACUCCGGGAAACCGGAGCUAAUACCGGAUAACAUUUUGAACCGCAUGGUUCGAAAUUGAAAGGUGGCUUUUGCUACCACUUACAGAUGGACCCGCGGCGCAUUAGCUAGUUGGUGAGGUAAUGGCUCACCAAGGCAACGAUGCGUAGCCGACCUGAGAGGGUGAUCGGCCACACUGGGACUGAGACACGGCCCAGACUCCUACGGGAGGCAGCAGUAGGGAAUCUUCCGCAAUGGACGAAAGUCUGACGGAGCAACGCCGCGUGAGUGAUGAAGGCCUUCGGGUCGUAAAGCUCUGUUGUUAGGGAAGAACAAGUACCGUUCAAAUAGG
rnacentral:rRNA from 1 species